AAAGAAGAGGUUGCAAUUUUUGUUGCGGAAGAUGGGGAAAGAAGACAAUCGGUGGUUUUUUUUUUACUUUGCCCGCGCGCUGGCCCUAUUCUUCGCUCUCAAGCUCACUUAGCGACAGUGGCGUGCCAACAAUUAGCUGAUGGAUGGUCAUCAAAUGACUGACCUUGGAGGUUCAUCCUACCUUCCAUUCCAAGAAAAGAAACCAUUAAGUAAUACAUACAUACCGUCGGUUAUUUAUGCCUCUCGCUCUCUUAGGAAGCCGCUCGGGAUGGAAAGAUGGGGCAAUUAGACAAUGCAAAUAGCAGACGUGUUAUUGUAAAACUGUGGCGUAAUAUGGUCAGAGGUGUCUUUUCAAAAGAUUCUUGCACAAAUAUUAGAGUCAAUUUGUUAUUAUUUAAUACAUGAUACUGCUUUCCAUUAUAGCUGGAGACG
ensembl:ncRNA C05E11.12 ncRNA